rnacentral:tRNA from 1 species
GGGCGGUUAGCUCAGUUGGUAGAGCACUAGUCUUACAAACUAGUGGCCACUGGUUCGAGUCCAGUACCGCCCA